rnacentral:rRNA from 2 species
UACGGAGGGUCCAAGCGUUAUCCGGAAUCAUUGGGUUUAAAGGGUGCGCAGGCGGUAAAGUAAGUCAGUGGUGAAAUCCCUUCGCUCAACGAAGGAACUGCCAUUGAUACUGCUAUACUUGAAUAUAGUUGAAGUAGGCGGAAUGUGUAGUGUAGCGGUGAAAUGCUUAGAUAUUACACAGAACACCGAUAGCGAAGGCAGCUUACUAAACUAAUAUUGACGCUCAUGCACGAAAGCGUGGGGAGCGAACAGG